CCAAACGAGAACUAACCACCAGUCCCUGUAAUAAAUUAAAAAGUGUUUGUGGGAAAAGGAGACGCUGAUACGAACAUAAAUGAUAUUCAAGCAUGUAGGUAGAGAUCAAUUUAUUGCGUGUAGGUGUAGCAUUUUACUGGAACAUUAGAUCAUGAUAUAUACCUUAGAGUCGACAAGCCAAAUCUUCUUUCGAGCUUCUUCUAAAGGAACACUGGUCUGAAAGGCAAAUCCAUAAAUUUAGUACAGAAGAGAUGCUGAUACGAACAUAAAUGAUAUUCAAGCAUGUAGGUAGAGAUCAAUUUAUUGCGUGCAGCAUUUUACUGGAAUGUCAGAUCAUGAUAUAUACCUUAGAGUCGACAAGCCAAAUCUUCUUUCGAGCUUCUUCUAAAGGAACACUAGUCUGAAAGGCAAAUCCAGAAAUUUAGUACAGAAGAUUCAAAAAAACAAA
rnacentral:lncRNA from 1 species